rnacentral:rRNA from 1 species
GUCUUAUUUGAAUAUAAUAUUAAGUCUGCUCUGCCCAUUGAUUAAAUAAUUAAAAGGCCGCAGUAUACUGACUGUACAAAGGUAGCAUAAUCAUUUGUUUUUUAAUUGAAAACUGGAAUGAAAGAGUUAAUGAAAUAUAAAUUGUCUCAAAAUAAUAUAUUGAAUUUAAAUUAAAAGUAAAAAUGCUUUUAUUAAAUUAUAAGACGAUAAGACCCUAUAGAAUUUAAUAAAUUUUAUUUUUGUAAUUAUUUUAUUUAAUAAAAUUAUAUAAAUAAAUUAUAUUUUAUUGGGAGGAUAAUUAAAUAAGUUAAACUUUAAUAAAAUAUUAACAUUGAUGAAUGAAUGUUUUGAUUAUUGUUAUAAUUAUUAGAAUAAAUUACCUUAGGGAUAACAGCGUAAUAAUUUUGGAGAGUUCAUAUUGAUAAAAUUGUUUGCGACCUCGAUGUUGAAUUAUGAUAAAAAUUAAAUGGAGGUAUUUAAAUUUUUAGUCUGUUCGACUAUUAAAAUCAUACA